GCCCCCGUGGUGUAGCGGUCAACAUGCCUGGUUCUCAGCCAGGAGAUCGAGGGUUCGAGUCCCUUCGGGGGUACCA
rnacentral:tRNA from 1 species